rnacentral:rRNA from 1 species
GGAGGAUGCAAGCGUUAUCCGGAAUUAUUGGGCGUAAAGCGUCCGCAGGUGGUGUUUCAAGUCUGCUGUCAAAGACCGAAGCUUAACUUCGGGCAGGCGGUGGAAACUGAAACACUAGAGUACGGUAGGGGUAGAGGGAAUUUCCAGUGUAGCGGUGAAAUGCGUAGAUAUUGGGAAGAACACCAGUGGCGAAGGCGCUCGACUGGGCCGUAACUGACACUCAGGGACGAAAGCUAGGGUAGCGAAAGGGAUUAGAUACCCCUGUAGUCUUAGCUGUAAACGAUGAACACUAGGCGUUGCUUGUAUCGACCCGAGCAGUGCCGUAGCCAACGCGUUAAGUGUUCCGCCUGGGGAGUACGCAGGCAACUGUG